rnacentral:ncRNA from 2 species
AAAGAAGACCCUGUUGAGCUUGACUCUAGUCUGGCAUUGUAAGACGAUAUUGGAGGUGCAGCAUAGGUGGGAGGGCUUCCUUGUGGAGCUCGCCUCUGAGAUACCACCACUCUUACUGUUGCCUUACUUACAUGAUUGGGUGGAACAAGCGCGGACCCCAGGUCCGGAUCGUGCGCGCACCUCCUCCGGGGGGCUGUGGCGGCGGUUCGCCUGCGCGCGCCCAAUGCACCGUGUUUCUCGCUCAGCGUCCAGUUUGUCGCUGGGUGGUGCCGCCGGGGAGACUGCAUCGUAGCAUCGUCGUGUGUAGCGUGUUACCCGCUUGUCCGACCAUGAACCGUGGCCCACAAGGGUACAAGCUUGCGUACGUCGGUGCAUUCGUGGUGCGUUGCUUCUGCGCGGUCGAUCGUUUAUGAUGUCACGUUUGCCCCCGGUUCCGCGCGCCGCCCGGCUCGAAGACUCCUGGACAGGUCCUUUCGGUCCACGUCAUGGACAGUGCCAGGUGCGGAGUUUGACUGGGGCGGUACAUCUCCAAAACGACAACGGAGGUGUCCAAAGGUCAGCUCAGUGUGGACAGAAACCACACGCUGAGCAUAAGGACAAAAGCUGGCUUGAUCCCAACGUUCAGUACACUUUGGGACAGCGAAAGCUUGGCCUUACGAUCCUUUUGGUUAUAACGAGUUUUUAGCAAGAGGUGUCAGAAAAGUUACCACAGGGUAACUGGCUUUUGUUUUAAAUCGAGUGGAUUUUUAU